GGAAAACUUGGGGGAGAAUGGGCAUCCCACCCCAGCACUUUCUAGGAAGAAGGGCAGCAUUUUGAAGGGCUGGAAGUAGAGGAAGGAGGUUGCGGGUAGAAGACUCCAUACUUUCUGUGACGCCUAUUCCUUAGUCAGAGGCAUGGCUUGCCUGGGCCUCUGGGUGCAGCUGCACAGAUUCAAGCAGCCUGAAGGAAAGGUGACUGACAGCUAAUGAUCUGAAAAGAACUUGUCUCAACUCAACGUCAUUCCUGGCAUUAUCGAACAAAGCAAUAAACCUCACAGAAUGGAAGCUACAGUGUCCAGGGCCAGCUCUGCUAAGGUAACCAAAGACAGAGAAGGAGGCAAAAGUGACAGAAGAAACUCA
rnacentral:lncRNA from 1 species